CGGAAUUUCGCUCUGUCGCCCAGGCUAGAGUAGAGUGGAGUGAUCUCGGCUUACUGCAACCUCUGCCUCCCGGGUUCAAGCGAUUCUCCUGCCUCAGUGUCCCAAAUAGCUGGGACUACAGGCUGUCUGCUGCCCUGCAUUGUGAGUUUGCUCAGUGGGCCAGCGUGGCACAGAAGCACAGUUGAGAGACCAGACCCGGGGCCUCUGGAGGAACGUGCUGGUAUCAUCGCUGAAGAGCUUUCUCAAUGCUGGCUGGCUGUUGUCAGGAGCAGUCCUUAGACAGGCUCGCUUCUGGUAGUUCAAAGAAUCAGGUUGGUUUAGCAAUCAUGUUAUCCCUUACAUUACUUGUAUAUUCCUAAGUGUAUUCCAAAGACGGUGAAUUCCCAUCCACAGUAUAGGUGCAAACUGUGAUGAGAUGAGGCUUGGGGUUCUAAUGAAGUGCAGGCCACAGAUUUUAGAACACAGAAGAGAGGUUCUGAGUGUGGUGGUGAAGAGCAUGGACUCAGGAGCCAGACUGCCUGGGUUGGAAUCCCAGUCCCCAGCUUCCUGGCCAUGCUAUCCUGGGCAGGUUACUUAACUACCCAGUGCCUCAAUUUCCCCAUCUGUUAUAUAGGGAUUAAAUAGCCCCUACUUUAAUAGAGUUAAUAUAAGUAUUAAAUGAGUAAGAUGAUUAGGAAAUUGACAUGUAGUAAGUGACAUAUAUGUUUGUUAAAUAAAGUGGAAUAUACUGAUGACUGGUAUUCACUCUAGAAUUCUACAUUCUCACAUGAGAAAGAAUACAAAUGCUAGAAACAACCCAAAUUGGGGCAAAUCUAAAUAAACUGCAAUAUGGUUGUACUAUGAAACACUAUGUAGCCACUUUUUUUUUUUUUUUUUAAAUCUUGAGACAGGGUCUUACUGGGUCACUCAGGCUGGAGUGCGUGGCACCAUCUUGGCUCACUGCAACUUCCACCUCCCAGGUUUAAGUGAUUCUCCAGCCUCAGCCUCCCAAGUAGCUGGGAUUACAGUGUGUGCCACCAUGCCUGGCUAAUUUGUUUGUUUGUUUGUUUGUUUAUUUAUUUUUUUUGAGAGACAAGGUUUCACCAUGUUGCCUAGGCUGGUCUUGAACUCCUGAGCUCAAAGCAGUCC
rnacentral:lncRNA from 1 species